UACGAAGGUCCCGAGCGUUAUCCGGAUUCAUUGGGUUUAAAGGGUGCGUAGGUGGAAUGAUAAGUCAGUGGUGAAAUCUUGCAGCUCAACUGUAAAACUGCCAUUGAUACUGUUGUUCUUGAGUGUGGUUGAUGUGGGCGGAAUAUGUCAUGUAGUGGUGAAAUACUUAGAUAUGACAUAGAACACCGAUUGCGAAGGCAGCUCACAAAGCCAUUACUGACACUGAGGCACGAAAGCGUGGGGAUCAAACAGG
rnacentral:rRNA from 1 species